rnacentral:rRNA from 1 species
UACAUGUGGGGCAAGCGUUGUUCGGAAUUACUGGGCAUAAAGGGUGCGCAGGCGGAUAUGUAAGUCAGUGGUGAAAUCUCCGGGCUUAACCCGGAAACUGCCGUUGAUACUAUAUAUCUUGAAUGCUGUGGAGGUAAGCAGAAUAUGUCAUGUAGCGGUGAAAUGCUUAGAGAUGACAUAGAAUACCUAUUGCGAAGGCAGCUUACUACGCAGAUAUUGACGCUCAUGCACGAAAGCGUGGGGAUCAAACAGG